rnacentral:ncRNA from 1 species
GCAAAAGCAAUGAAGAGGAAUAAUAGGUAUUAACCGGAGUCAGAGAGUUGCCGUGUGGUGCGAGGCAAUGGAAGGAAGAUAUUGAACUCACCUCGGAGCUGCUAUCUGAAAGUAUUAUUAUAUAUGAGUAGGCGUAGCCGGAAGCCAACCGUUAUAUUGGACAGAAUAUAAGGCAGAGAUGUCCGUAUUCAGUGAGUGCACGAUUGAUUCGUGAAUAAGAGUGGUAACGCGUGAGACUAUAGUCUUUCGUCUCUUGA